GACGAACGCUGGCGGCGUGCUUAACACAUGCAAGUCGAGCGGUAAGGCCCUUUCGGGGGUACACGAGCGGCGAACGGGUGAGUAACACGUGGGUGACCUGCCCUCAGCUCUGGGAUAAGCCUGGGAAACCGGGUCUAAUACCGGAUAUGACUCCAUGACGCAUGUUGUGGGGUGGAAAGCCUUGUGCGGCUGAGGAUGGGCCCGCGGCCUAUCAGCUUGUUGGUGGGGUGAUGGCCUACCAAGGCGACGACGGGUAGCCGGCCUGAGAGGGCGACCGGCCGCACUGGGACUGAGACAUGGCCCAGACUCCUACGGGAGGCAGCAGUGGGGAAUCUUGCGCAAUGGGCGAAAGCCUGACGCAGCGACGCCGCGUGAGGGA
rnacentral:rRNA from 1 species